GAGUCAAUUAUACAUACGUCGGCCACGGUUGGAUCUCGUGGCGUUACGUAAUCCAAGGUCACGAUGAUAAUUACUUCAAGUUGCAAAAAUUAACGCAACGUGCUGACGUGCUACGAAAGAAUUUCUUCCGUGCGCACAUACAGUGAAUUACAUCGAUUUCAUUAGCAUAUCGCGAUUUAAUCGAAAUACCACUGAGAUGCAAUAAUUAAUGUGAAUCGCCGGUGUAAAAAAAAAACAUUUGGGGUUUUGUAUCCGUUUGUGCGGAGUAAAAAUUUAAAAAACCUCUCCUAUAGAGCUUCCAACAUUUAUUUGCAAUAUUAACAAUGUGUAUUAUCAUCGUACAAAAUUCAGCACGUCAGAUCUAAAAAUAGGUCUUGUAUAAAUAACAAAUUUAAGGUCUAAUGCGACACUUGCCCCAUCGGAAGAAUCAACUAAAUUCAUGCCAAUUUAACGUCGAUGAAAGUAGCAAAGCACUCCAUCUACGACGAGAACGAAACGAGCUACGCGGGCUCUCAACCCAAAUGUGGGCAGAUGAAUUGCAAUAUAAACGCGAACAGUUGUGACGUUAGCGCAAACGUUAUUUGCAGGGAGCCGGCCGAUCGAUAACCCAGUUUCGAUCGGAGAUUCUCCGAUAUCGAGCAGGUAGCAUCUGCGCAGGGCGAAGCCCGGGUCACCGACACGAAAGCGGUCACCGAGGAGGAUUAAUUAAAAUUUACCAAUCCUUUCUUUUCACUUAUCUUUCAACGAAGAGUCGCAUCGCGAUCACUCUUGCCAAUAAAGGGACAUUUGUUCCCCCGACAUUCUUGGGAGUAGAAUAGAACACGUAUAUAAUUCUGGAAAAUAAUGUCACUCCGUGUGAGUUGUUU